AGCAGUCGCCACGGUAAUACGAAGGGUGCAAGCGUUAAUCGGAAUUACUGGGCGUAAAGCGUGCGUAGGCGGUUUGUUAAGUCUGUUGUGAAAUCCUCGGGCUCGACCUGGGAAUGGCAAUGGAUACUGGCAAGCUAGAGUGUGUCAGAGGAUGGUGGAAUUCCCGGUGUAGCGGUGAAAUGCGUAGAGAUCGGGAGGAACAUCAGUGGCGAAGGCGGCCAUCUGGGACAACACUGACGCUGAGGCACGAAAGCGUGGGGAGCAAACAGGAUUAGAUACCCCUGUAGUCCCUGUCUCUUAUAC
rnacentral:rRNA from 1 species